AUGGGGAAGAGCGACUUCCUGACGCCCAAGGCGAUCGCGAACCGGAUCAAGGCCAAGGGGCUGCAGAAGCUGCGGUGGUACUGCCAGAUGUGCCAGAAGCAGUGCCGCGACGAGAACGGCUUCAAGUGCCACUGCAUGUCGGAGUCGCACCAGCGGCAGAUGGCCAUCUUCGGCCAGGCCCCCGACCGCGUCGUCGAGGGCUUCUCCGACGAGUUCCUCGAGGAGUUCCUCACCCUGCUCCGCCGCGCCCACCGCAGCUCCCGCGUCGCCGCCACCGUCAUCUACAACGAGUUCAUCGCCGACCGCCACCACGUGCACAUGAACUCCACCCGCUGGGCCACGCUCACCGAGUUCGUCAAGUUCCUCGGCCGCGAGGGCCACGCCAAAGUCGAGGACACGCCCAAGGGCUGGUUCAUCACCUACAUCGACCGCGACUCGGAGCAGGCCAUCAAGGCCAGGCUCAAGCGCAAGAGGGUCAAGUCCGACCUCGCCGAGGACGAGCGCCAGGAGCUCAUGAUUGCCCGUCAGAUCGAGCGUGCACAGAAAGCCCAGGCUAAUGGCGAAGAAGACGAUGAUGCUAAUGCUGAUGAUGACCUCGGCAGCGAGGAUGAUGAGUAUUCGGGAUCAGACGAGGAUGAUCAGGAAGAACAUCAGGAGGAGGGGAAAGAGGCCAAUAAGCCAACUGGGAAGAUUGCCAUUGCGCUCCAGCGGGCUGUGCCGCCGCCUAAGAUUAAUCCUUUUGAUGAUAAGCCAAAGAUGAAAUUUGGCUUCGAGGAGGAAGAGGAGGAGGUGCCCAACAAGAAGGCGAAAGUUGCAGGGAAGGCAACGGACACCAGGAGGUCGGCAAUUGAUGAUCUGAUGAAGGAGGAGGAGAAGGCCAAGGAGCGGAGCAACCGGAAGGACUACUGGCUGUGCCCUGGUAUCGUUGUCAAGGUGAUGAGCAAGUCGCUGGCCGAGAAGGGGUACUACAAGCAGAAGGGAUUGGUGAAGAGGGUGAUUGAUAAGUAUGUCGGGGAGAUUGAGAUGCUGGAGAGCAAGCAUGUUCUCAGGGUCGACCAGGAUGAGCUUGAGACUGUCCUCCCGCAGAUUGGUGGGCUGGUGCGGAUUGUUAACGGGGCUUACCGGGGCUCGAAUGCAAGGCUGCUCUCAGUGGACACAGAGAGAUUCUCCGCCAAACUGCAGGUUGAAAAGGGCCUCUAUGAUGGGAAAGUUCUCAAGGCUAUUGAGUAUGAGGACAUUUGCAAGGUUGCUCAGUGA
rnacentral:rRNA from 1 species